UCAGGCGUGCACCCGGCACACACGAUGGCUGCAGCAGCUGGAGCACUCUCUAGGUCAUUAUGGCUCUCUUCACUACGGGAAGAGGAGGAGAGGAGGGGAAGAGAGGAGGAGCAGCUCAGAUAGGAAACUAAUCUGAAAGGUAAUAUAUGCUCUUCUUUCGCUUUCGGACGGAGUUUACCCCCUGACGGGCCUUGACGUCUCCUGUCCUGUCUCUUCCCCCCCUCUCUUCUUUGGAUGCGAUCAGUUAUUAACCACAUGGUUUGCCUGUGAGUCGCGUAGUCGAAAGGGGGAGUGGAAUGCACUGUUCUGCAGCAGCAGCGGCACUGGGACAGAACUUAACCAGAGACCACCUUUGGGCUUUUUUUCCUCUUCUCUUGUUCCUCUUGUCUUAAAAGAGGGAAAAGAAGAAAAGAAAUAGAAAAAAGUACGGAGAGGAGGAGGAUGCAGGAGAAGGUGAAGCAGGGAAAAGGGAGGCUGGGGAGUUGCUAUGGUCCACAUGGAUUUUAGCCCCGUUUUAUUGCUCUUCAGUCUAUCUUUCUUAUCUUCCUCCCUCCCUCCCUCCCUCCCUCGUCUUGCACGCUCUCUUGCUCUCUUGUGUUCCUGGCACUGGCCGGACAUGCUGCAGCAGCAGAGCUCUUUGGCUCAUUAGGCUUCAUGGUUGCAGCCCUGCCGCUAUCUAAUGACGGACUCGUUAACUGAGACCAGCACUGGUGUGGAGAGACAUUCCCUUACGCACAAUUCUCCCUCUGCGUCAGACACCUUCCAAGAUGUUUUUGUACCAUCUCUAAGGAUACCUAUAAUUACUGGGACUUGUUAAUGUUAUUUUUUUCUUUUUGGUUCUUUUUGGUGGUUUGGAGGGGCGGGGGAGGUCACUGCCAUUCUUAAUUGAUGGGAGGUAAGUUUGAGGACAUGUCACAUUUUGAAGCCCAAGGUUGGCUGAUUGGGGAGGAAGGAUGGAAUGUGGCGUCCAGAGGGAUGAUGAAGCAUCAAAAUAAUGGACAGCAGGCAGGUCGGGAGUGCUGAACGGGGGAAACAUUGGAUUGACGGCACACAGCUGUGAGAAGUGUACUAACACAGAUGUGAGGGUAAGGAAGGUGAGGAUGGGCGGGAGGGGAUAUUGGGCAGCAUUGGUUGGCUGAGUAGAUGUGUGUCACCGGCCGAACCCACAGCACUUAGGGUAGUAACCCAAUUUCUUCUCUCUCUGUAACGGAUUACUAUAGCUAGGCAGGGCAUGCAGGGCACAGAGUACUGCAGUGCUAUCGCCCAAACCAGAACAGACAUAACAACCACUGGGCUAAUUCGCUGGUUCACGUUCCCCAACCUUCAUCCCGCUGUGUGUAGGAAAGAAUUUCACCCCCUCUCUCUCCUGUUUGCUCACCCUCUCGGGUGGCUGUGACAUUUCCUAAACAGGACGUCACACCUUUAGGACCAGGCUCAUCCACGAACUGUCACCUCCAGUUCAACCUCCCCUCAUUGCUAUUCCAAACCGUUCCACUGCAAAAACAUUGCACCAAUUUUCCCAUUUAUUCUGUUCUCUGCAAUCAAGUCUCCAAACUCAACCCUAAGCUAGUCUUCCCUAAUCCAUUUUUCGUUUUACACCCAUUGCCUCAGCACCCAGCCUGCUGGCUAGCUAAGCGUGGCUGGAGGCAGUGUUGACUUGUGGAAUGUGUUGGUUGGGGGCAAAGUUUCAUUAGAGACUUGCUGAACAAUUCUCGCCACCAUGCAAAUGGUUAUUGAUCUGUUCCACCCAUUCUGCAACAGAACAGCAGGUUUCUCUGUAGACACAGACAGAUGAGGUUUGAUCAGAGGAAAAAGGAAGUGAGAAAAGAUGACCAUAAAAACAGUGAUCUGUCUAUGUGUGGGAAGAGAGAAAGAACAAGGUACAGAACGUGAGAGAGGGGGGAGGUCAGUGGGGGUAUAGCCAGGACCAAUCCACAAGUGCUGAGUGGGCAUUAGCGCCUUCAUGUGACCUAUGGCCUGCCUCUGCGCCUAAAGCCCAAAUCCUGCUCACAAUAGCUUCCUGUUCCACUUGGAUCACCCUCGUUUUCAAACAUCAGCAAGCGCUCCAGCUAGCCACUGGGGACGGUGCUGACACAAGAGAGACGAGGGACAGGCAAGAGCUACAUAUUGGUAAAAGUAGAGGUAGGAAAGGAGAGAGGAUAUAGAAACUGGGGGUGAAAUAGGAGAACGAGAUGGUGGUGAGGGAGGCAGACUGAAAGAGAAGUGGGAGGAGAGAAGUGAAAGUGUUUAGUGUGUCAGCGGGGCCAAUCAGCUUAUAGGUGCACCCCUGCUCGCAAGACACACGGUCCAAAGCAGAUGAUCAUCAUACAAGACAAGGUGCACACAGAGGCACCUUACACCAUGGACUUUCUAUCAAGGAGAAAACUCUUCCCUCCUUUGCUGCCGUUUUUGUCCAAACCCCUUAAUCUACCUCAACAUUUUUCAUGAAAAGAGAAAAAGCCCACCUUCUAAAUGCUGUAAAAAGGGGAGCUGUAUUCCUCCCCCUGGUUUCUCCCAGAACUUUGUCUGGAGGACAGCGGGGGUCACUGGGACAGUCGACUAUGGUAUGGACUGCAAACCUUCUGUUAUGUUCAGGGGCGGGGGGACGAGCUGUUCAGCCUUACAUGGCAACCAAAGGAAAGCCUUGAGUGUUGAACUGAAUGUACUCUCAAAGUCACCUUACAGUGCAGACUACCAUACUUGGGAGAGGGAAUGAUGAGGAAAACUGUUCUGCUCAUAACUUCCUGACCUUGGCGAAAGUGCUCCAAUAUGGCUAAAGGGGAAAAGCAAGCAAGGUGAACUGGACCAAAACUCUGCCAUUGUUUCUGGCUCUUUUUUUUUUAACAUGCAACUGAAAGAGCAGGAAAUAGUUGCUGAGGAGGCAGAAUGAAGAGGGACUGAGGCUGGCUCUAUCAUUCUGCUGUAUCAUAUGGCUUCCGUGUUAACAAGCUUGUGUGUUUAACUAUGACUGCCCUCCCUUUAUGCCGAUGCCCUUAUUCGCACCCCCACCCUACAUCAACCCGGCUGCCCCGUGCUCCCCUCCCGUCCCCGAUUCCUGCUCUCAUUGUUCACGUUUGCUAUGCUUGCCAAAUGCUUUGCUAGGCUGCAUGGCAGUCAGAUUAGACCAUCAAAAAGUGACAAUGCAGGAUCAGAGUCAACUCCUGCCUGUCAGCUGAUUCCAAUUGUUGACUGCUUCAAACAAAUAAAGGCAACAGAAUAUGGACAGGGGCACGGAGAGAAAUGAAGCGAGGGGGGAGGUGGGGAGUAGUUUGCAUUGUGAGCUAUUCAUAUCUAGCACUUUCACCUAUUCUGACCCCCUCUCUGGCCCGUGCUUGGAUCAAACAUAGUCCCUGUACCAUGUUUUAGCACAGGUUUACCUCUCUUUAAACCCCUUUAAUGUAGAUAUAUACUGCUGUACUAAAAGGUAAUAUUUUCCACUGCAUUUUAACUUUUAUCAUUGUUAUUAAAUUAUAUAUUUGAGGUCUGAUCAACAAAUUAGAUAAUUAAAGGCUCAACAAUAAAUAUAAAUGUAUAAAUGUAAACUGCUAACAGUAAACCUUGGAUGAAACUGUGAAACUAAAACACACAGUACCUGCAUAUAAAUUGCUUCCUCAUAAAAUUAGAUUUAUUUUCCUUAAUUACAAUGUUGUUAGAUGUAGCAGGCUAGGAUGUAUGUGUGCCUACAAAAUUUAUCCCGCAGUGAAGCAAUGAAAAAUUGUAUGUAUGCCAAUGUAGUACGACAUCUCUGUAUGAAAUACAAGACACUUCAUUCUGAACUGAUUAAUAUGCCAAGUGUAGGGCUGACUUACUCUAUUCCCCCUUUUAAUUGAAAGGAAUAUCUAAAUUGAGGUAACACACCUGACAUCCACACUAAAAAUCUGCAUUCCUUGUACCUUUGGUUUACCGACAAUGGUUAAAAGAUACUUAACUCAUGAACAAAAAUAAUUUGUAGCCUAUAAAUCCCUUUCUGACGUUCCUUAUUUUUUCCCCUAAUGAAGUUGGAUUUGAUGUAUGAAAAAUAAAACUAUAAAGCCCUACUCACAUUUUCUUAAAAGCAAGGGUCACCACAAAAAAAAUGUUAUUUAAUUUGAGGAGAGCAUCAGAAUGAAGCUGCAUUUUUGGGCUUCAGUUUUCAACCAUUUAGACCCAUCUGCAUAAUAUUCUGCCUGGCUCUCUGUUCUGUCAAGACAUCGAGGCGUGUAGGAGAGCAUGGCUUGCACUGCAUGUUUCUCCCAGGCCCUCAAAAGCAAUGACCUGCUGUCUGAGUGACAAACACAGCAGAUGCUGACAUUAUCAAAUGCUCAGUGCCUGUCGUCCCCCCUGCUUUUGCCCUGUUAUGGCCCUUAGACGAGGUGAGCAGCCUGGCCACCUGACUCUGAGUGACUGAGUGUGUUUGUAAGUGAGCAAGCAUGAAUGUGCAUGUGUAUGUUACAAAUAGACCUGCCUUUGGUGUGCCAUAUCAAGCUGGCCCUUUAUUGACCUCCAUCCUGUCUACAAGCAGUGCCGUACAUCACUCAGCUGUCGUUGGCCACUCUGAGAACCUCAUCCGUGCCUUGGCAGAAAAUGACAAGCUUCCCUUACAAAAUAGUGUCAAAGGAACAUUUAUUACGAAUAAUGAUAAUGAAAAGUGAAAAUAGCUGAAAUAAAUGUAACUUAACUGUAUCUUAAUUCAAAGAUUGAGCUACAAAUACUUCAGCAGUGAGAUUAAAAUGGUGGGCAAAAAUACAAUAAUACUAUACAUGGUAUAAUAUGGGAAAUGUUUGAUGUUGCUAUAAUGGUAGAAAUGGUUUACUGAGCUUAUGACUGCAACUAACAUAAGCUUUAGGCACACAUACACAAAAACAUAAUCAAAGUUGUUUAUGUGGGUGCUACUGUGAUCAUUUUUGUAUUAGCACAGCACAGCACAAUACUGUACUACUGGAGAGCCCUGAAAUAGACAUGAAAUAAUCUGCCCUCAGUCACUGUUCAAACAGUACCCUCUACACUACAAAUCAGUCUCUAGGACUUAAAUGAUGGUUUAAAUUAAUGUUAUGACUUGACACCCCAGAGUGCUGCUGUAGAGGCAUGAGUGAAAGAGCUUGUGUACGUGGUUAUGCCUCUGCAUUUGUCUGUUGGCUGUCUCGGUGACCGCAGCAGCAGCGUGCUUGCAGCAGAGCCCAUCUGUCAGAGCCUGUAAUUGCUUCAUGACUCCAGGACAUUUGACUCAAGUGCACUGCCACAGAUUAUUAUUAUCCUUUUCUCAGGGAACAAUUUUUCUCACUCUCUGGGAGGGGCCAAGCAUAAAACUUAAAAAGAUAGUGAGGAGGAUAAAUAGACUGGGAGGCAGCAAAGGAGAAAGAUAGGUAAGGUUGAUCAACUGUACCUAUGUGUUAUUGGUGUGGUGGUAUAUGGGGUGUAGUGUGCUAAAUGUAAUGUGUGUCACACAGAAUGGGUGAAGGUGAAAAGGCAAGAAAAAGCAGGAGAGCGAAGGAGCAUUGUCCAUUUCAACUAGUGGGUGAGCAUGGUGUGCAAACCCACAUCCAUGUUUUAAUAAGAUGUUUAAAUGCAACAUGGCCUUUCUCUGCUCAGUGUUUCCCUGGCUCUUUUCAGAUAAAACUCACUUCAUAGCAGUUCCCAGUCCAUCUCGGAAACAAUGAUUCCACAAUGCUUUGCUAAAGCUGGUAAAAUGGAACCAAAUCACCUCUUGAAUGGAUUUGGUCCCCUUCAACCAGCUGUAGCUAUGCUUUGAUGACUACAGGAGCUCCUUUUGCUGUGAUGCCUUCAACAAUCACUGUAAUGGCAGUGGGCCACUUCUUGAUGAUGACUGGCUUAUGGCUUUUCUCUACCAACAACAUCUGGAGUGUAACUGUCAAGUUCCAUGCUAAACCUGUCUUAUUUUUGACUAAUAAAGAAAUCAAUCCCAGCUUCAAAACUUUGGUAUGGUCCACUUUCAUGACUGAGUGUUACUUCUCUGCCACCAACGGGAUUGAUAUUCUGACCACACUAUCAAUGGCUGUUUCAAAAAUAGCAGGGGGUGGAUGUGCAGUGUGAGCUAUUUCGACACAGCACUCGCAUGUCUGUACGGCUGUCUUGCUAAGACACCUCCUAAACUGACUGUCACUGGAUGCUAACACUCAAUUACACCGUGGGUGGGAAUAGGCAAAAGCAGAUAGCCAAUGCAGCUCAGCAGGGGUACAAUGGCAUUGUAAAGAGAUCUAAAGUAGAACUAAGACAAUAAGAGUGCAAGAAAUAAAAAAUAAAUUGUUGUUUAGAGACUGUACAAUACGCACAUUCAAACAUUUUGGCCUCCUUCCCCUGAAACCUCCUGCAGUGAGGUUGGACAAGCUGGGUUAGAUGAUAGCCAGAUGCUCUAGAGGACAGGAGCUGAGCGCACAAAUCACAGGAGCAGACCGCUCGCAAGCAGUUACAGCCUCACACAUUCACUCACUGUUACUGCAGAACAGGCAGAUCAACCCAAACUACCUUCACACUGUCUCCUGACCACCCUCCUUUUCUUGCCUCUCUAUUUCUUUUGCCUUCCUAAUUUAGUGCUUAACGCUAUGUCAAACCGACCUUUUCUCAAACUCAGAAAAUAUACAACAUAACCACAAAAACAAUCUUGAAUUAUUUGUUCCGAAAUUGAUCUAAAAGCUGCAAUUUAUCUAAUUUGUCUAAUUACUCAAACUGAUUUGAGGAUGCUGGUAUAGUAUAUACAAAUAAUGUAUUAAAUCCAUUGUAAAUAGCACUGUAUUCUCCAUUUCUUUUGAAUUUGAAGUGUUUUCCAUUGGACCAAUAACCAUGAAAUUUCUUUGGGUAAUGUAAGAGGCACUAGCUUACUCAAUUACAGUAGUCUGACUUGAUUAGCCUAGUCUGAAAUGAGCAAGAGAGGGUGGAAAAAUUCCUAAUUCAAUCACUGGCAACCAUGAAGAACGUGAAUAAAGCGGCAAGCAGAUUGGGCUCUAUGGGCCCACAACACUUUUUUCUAUCAAAUUGUGAUCUCUGUUACAAUACCAACAUUAUGCUGUUGCCUAUUAGUACGGUCAUUAUAUUGGGAAUACUGCAUUUUGGAACACGGUUUGACUGAUUGCAGAGCCCGCAUUUACCAUAUGGGGUUUGCCUGUAUGUUGCCAUAUUAAAAGAAAGCUGAGCACUAUAUGAGAGAGGGAGGAGGGCAAAUAUCACAAGGAGGUGACACGUAAAAGGGUACAGAUCGCUUGUUUAGAGCCAGUUUAUGAGUCAUGGGCUAUUAAUCCUAUUGUUUACAAUAUUGUAGCAGCUACUGGCUUCUAGCAGCCCGAGGGAAAGAUGAGCCAGGCUCCCCUUGCAGGCUUGGCCUGCGGUAAACACACACAGGGAGAAAACACAAUGUGGAUGUCCGAGAAAAUCCUUUCCUCAACACGUUACUACUGGUUAUAACAGCACUUUCAAUUUAGUAGCAAUUGUAAAAAACAACUAGGUCUAAUUUAUGAGGAAAUGCCUUUACACUCUGUAGUGGUGUGCGUGUGAGUAAUGAACAAGGCGAAAUAUAGUAAAACUCCCCAGAUUCUGCUGCACCCCUGUUGGUAGACUUGAUUUGUCUCUGUAUUUGGGACUCCAAGUUAAAAGAUUCAUCUGUCACCCACAGGGUUCUUCCUAUGUGUCUUGUCUUCCUCAAUCUUCUUUCCACCGCUGGAAAACCGACCCGCGCUCUUAAAACACCCAGGCACAUAACACACAUUACACACACACACACACGCACACGCACACACACACACACCAGGGACUCUGACACACUCUCUGCUUGAGCCCAAAAGCUAGCGUUUGAUGUUGAUAACUUAUCUCAAUUACAAAGAAAAAGCGUCACAGUACACAAAAAGGAAGUUGUAUCAUAAUAGUUUUGAGGAGAAACAUUUUAGAUUAGCCUUGUUCAAAAGCAAUGUAGGCCAGGACAUUCUGUGCCGGUGCUCAAUCUAAACACGAGAAGGGAGAACGGACCUACUAUCAGGAAGCAAUAAUAACAUCAAUCAUUAACUAGAGGGGGCUUCAUAUCAUAUCCUUCAUCCAAGGGGCUUCUGAUCAACUUCCAACUCCAAGCACUUCUUCAUGACAGUCGUCAAAGGCACUUUUUGAAAUAUGAUUCUAUUGUAGGAAUACCUCUAAGCACUCGAUCGAAACAAGUGAAAAAACACACCAGACAAGGUACUUUCAUUUCAACCUAGGGAGAGAUUUUCGAGGGCUUUAGGCCUUGUGGACUGUCUCCCCGAUAUUGCAACAGCUCGAGCGUGAAAUAAAAGUAAAUGGGCAGACUGGAGAAGGCGACAUAUAUCUUCGUUUCUUUGAAGGCAAGGGGACAGAGCGUGGACUGAAGCAAGCAACGCACACACAACAGGAGCCCUGAUACAGAAAAUACUGUACUCCAGCACUUUUCGCAGCUAAAUCAAUGAGUCUGACAGCAGACCAGCUUUCUGCUCCUUUACAUUCUGAAUCCUGGUUUACCUAUACACAUUACGUACCCAUUGCAUUUUAAUAUAUACACUGCAAGCAAUUUUGUUUACACUCUGCCAGUCUGUGACCUUUGCUAAAUAUGUUUACUAUUAUUCAUUAAAGUUUAAAAGCUGUGCCAUAAGAGUAACCUUGUAAUGUAUUUUUCCCUUACGGACUACAGGCUAGGACAGCUGACCAUAUGGCCAAUUUCGUGUGUUGUGUGAUUUUUAUACAUUUUGUCAUUUAUUGAGUAUAACAC